UACGUAGGGACCAAGCGUUGUUCGGAUUUACUGGGCGUAAAGGGCGCGUAGGCGGCGCGGUAAGUCACUUGUGAAAUCUCUGAGCUUAACUCAGAACGGCCAAGUGAUACUGCAGUGCUAGAGUGUGGAAGGGGCAAUCGGAAUUCUUGGUGUAGCGGUGAAAUGCGUUGAUCUACAGAGGAACACCAAAAAAGGCGAAGGCAGCCAACUAUUCUAUUCCUGACAUUGAGGCAUGAAAGCGUGGGGAGCAAACCGG
rnacentral:rRNA from 1 species